rnacentral:misc_RNA from 1 species
UUAGAAUUCCACUCAUAGAUAAUGUAAAAGUGUAAGUUGAAUAAAAAAAGUCUCUCUUGUUUCUUUUCAACUUACAUUUUUACAUUAUCUAUGAGUGGAAUUCUAAUUGAAUGGAAGCAUCUGUUUUUUUGUCCAGACCAUCUUAGGAUGAAAAUAAGCAUCUUAACGAGCAGGAUUUACAUACAUUAUAAAAAAGAUCAGAUUCUUCGGCGAACGAUGAUUCCACCUUUCUAACUGCUAACAACAGCAAUGCACAAUAGUUGCAUGUUCAUACCAUCUAAAUGAAGUAUGCAGAUUCUAAUGCCCUAGCCUUCUCACCAGCAACUUGAGCUUCCUGCCUGCCGGUCAUUGCAUAGCCCCUCUCCAGCAGGCGCCACAUGAAAGGGGCUCCUUCUCUCUUCUUGAUACGUUUCUCAAUUACUUCAAUUGCCUUGGUAGCUUGUCCAGCAUUCAGCAACAUAUCAUACCAGACUUCAUUAAAUACCUCAAGUUGCUCAUCAGAUGCUCCAAUCAUCUUGCAAUCAUUGGCAUCAAAAUCAGGACCUAGUACUUCCAGCGCUUUUUUGUUGUUACCCCUCCCAUACUCAUACAGGGCUUCUGCAAGCAGCAUUCCUCUCUGCAUUCUUUGUUGCUUCUUCUUGUUCAUACUACAAAUUCUGGAUUUCAAGCCCUUGAGUAAAUCUUCUGCUUUUGAUAGUUCACCAGUCUUAGCUAAGGCCCAUAAUAUCAACAGGUCAAGGUGCCAUUCCAAAUGCCAGUUGGCUUCGUCUUUUACUCUAUCUGCUAAGACCUUCAUACGGUCCUCAAAGACAUCAAGUGUAUCCCGCACGUACACACGCAAUAAUAAACCCAAGGCAUUCAAGUACACCUCUGGAGAUGUGGCAUCAUCUCUUUCCAACUCCUUCCAGAUACGAUGAUCAUAAACUCCUAGUACUUUUUGCAUUGAAGCAUGACCUUCCAAGUAACAAAGAGCUACAUGCCACCAAUUAUGCGUCAGCAUAAAUGAUGAACAAGAAUUCCAAGAAGACGAACAUUCUUCCAUGAACUCUACCGCUUCUUUGAAAUGACACUCAUACUGAAGAACAUGGCAUACAGCAUGUUGUGCCCAGUAAUCAUGCUUGUUUACUUCACAUCCCUUUCUUGCAGCUUUCUCUGCAUCGGCCAUUCGGCCCAGCUCCAGUAAUGGAAAAGCAAGCAUGCCAUAUAUAUAAUCUUCUUGUUCAUUUUUGGGUAGAACCUGUUGGACAAGGCCCAGAGACAGGUCAGGUCUACCCAUGUAGAAACAUAACAGUUGAGCCCUUUUCAGAGAAACUAGAUCUUUUGGGUAGUCAUUCAAGAGCUUGGCAUGACAUUCAACAGCAACAUCAUCGUCUCUGUUCUCUGAAAUCAAAGAAUUAAUCGCAUCAAAAACCGCUUUUUCAUAUGAGGUUGCUUGUUCAAGUCGAGACUUGGCAGCCUGGAAAUGGAAAGGAGCUCGAGAAGGAUCGGUAGAGCAGAGGAAAUGAGCAGCUAAAAGGUUGGCUAAUAAGCAAUCCUGGUCAUGAAUAGGCGCAUCCAGAAUCACACGUCUCUCUCUCCCAUAGCUUAGCACCUGGUGAUAAUAAGAGUUGAUGGCAGAGAUGCAAGCAUCGGAAGUGGUAUUGACUUGGUAUCCCCAUCUGUCCAAUUUGACACCUCCCUCCAUCUCUCUGUGGUUCCAAUUUCUCUCCAGUUAGCAAAUGGCAAUCUCUUCAUGUAUAAGUGUGGGUAUGG